UAGCGUAUAUUAAUGUUGUUGCAGUUAAAAAGCUCGUAGUUGGAUUUCUGUUGAGAGCAGCGCGUCUACCUUUUGGGUAAGUAUGUUGCUUGGUCUCGGCAUCUUCGUGGGAAACGUUUCUGCGCUUGAUUGCGUGGGGCGGGGUUCACGACUUUUACUUUGAGGAAAUUAGAGUGUUCACGGCAGGCAUACGCCUUGAAUAUAUUAGCAUGGAAUAAUAACAUAGGGCUUAUGGCCUAUUUUGUUGGUUUCUAGGCUGCAGGCAAUGAUUAAUAGGGACAAUUGGGGGCAUUCGUAUUAACGCGUC
rnacentral:rRNA from 1 species